UACAGAGACCUCAAGCGUUAUCCGGAUUUAUUGGGCGUAAAGCGUCCGCAGGUUGUUUAGCAAGUCAGGAGUCAAAACUCACCGCUUAACGGUGAGAUCGCUUUUGAUACUACUGAACUAGAGUACGGAAGAGGUGAGCGGAAUUCUCGGUGUAGUCGUAAUAAGCGUUGAUAUCGAGAAGAACACCAAAUGCGAAGGCAGCUCACUGGUACGUUACUGACACUCAUGGACGAAAGCGUGGGGAGCAAAC
rnacentral:rRNA from 1 species